UGGGGAAUCUUGGACAAUGGGGCAACCCUGAUCCAGCCAUGCCGCGUGAGUGAUGAAGGCCUUAGGGUCGUAAAGCUCUUUCGCCUGUGAAGAUAAUGACGGUAGCAGGUAAAGAAACCCCGGCUAACUCCGUGCCAGCAGCCGCGGUAAUACGGAGGGGGUUAGCGUUAUUCGGAUUUACUGGGCGUAAAGGGCGUGUAGGCGGCUUGAUAGUCAAAGGUGAAAGCCCUCGGCUCAACCGAGGAACUGCCUUUGAAACCAUCUAGCUCGAGGCCGGGAGGGGGUAGCGGAAUUCCUGGUGUAGCGGUGAAAUGCGUAGAUAUCAGGAGGAACACCAGUGGCGAAGGCGGCUACCUGGACCGGUUCUGACGCUGAGGCGCGAAAGCGUGGGGAGCAACGAGGAUUAGAUACCCUGGUAGUCCACACCGUAAACGAUGAAUGCCAGUCGUCGGGUAGCAUGCUAUUCGGUGACACACCUAACGGAUUAAGCAUUCCGCCUGGGGAGUA
rnacentral:rRNA from 1 species